rnacentral:rRNA from 1 species
CCUACGGGUGGCAGCAGUGGGGAAUAUUGGACAAUGGGCGAAAGCCUGAUCCAGCCAUGCCGCGUGUGUGAAGAAGGCCUUCGGGUUGUAAAGCACUUUCAGUGGGGAAGAAAGCCUUGGGGCUAAUACCCUCGAGGAAGGACAUCACCCACAGAAGAAGCACCGGCUAACUCCGUGCCAGCAGCCGCGGUAAUACGGAGGGUGCGAGCGUUAAUCGGAAUUACUGGGCGUAAAGCGCGCGUAGGCGGUCUGAUAAGCCGGUUGUGAAAGCCCCGGGCUCAACCUGGGAACGGCAUCCGGAACUGUCAGACUAGAGUGCAGGAGAGGAAGGUAGAAUUCCCGGUGUAGCGGUGAAAUGCGUAGAGAUAGGGAGGAAUACCAGUGGCGAAGGCGGCCUUCUGGACUGACACUGACGCUGAGGUGCGAAAGCGUGGGUAGCAAACAGGAUUAGAUACCCCAGUAGUC